rnacentral:misc_RNA from 1 species
GUGAAUCAUCAAAUUUUUGAACGCAAAUUGCACUCUCUUCGGAGAGUAUGACUGUUUGAGGGUCAGUAUUAAUAAAAAUCGGCGUGUUGCUCUUUUGUGCCGUUCCGGAGUUUGGGUCAUAUUAUAACAACACUCUUUCAGGGUAUUUUUACGAGGCUUAAACUUGACUUUUUUUGUGCAUUUUAGACGUAUUUACAUUUUUUUUUAUUCGUCUAUCUUAAUGCCAAUUCUCCAUUAGAUGCGACCAUAUCGUGUGGUUUCGAGUCUA